rnacentral:rRNA from 1 species
CCUACGGGCGGCAGCAGUGGGGAAUAUUGGACAAUGGGCGAAAGCCUGAUCCAGCCAUGCCGCGUGUGUGAAGAAGGCCUUCGGGUUGUAAAGCACUUUCAGUGGGGAAGAAAGCCUUGGGGCUAAUACCCUCGAGGAAGGACAUCACCCACAGAAGAAGCACCGGCUAACUCCGUGCCAGCAGCCGCGGUAAUACGGAGGGUGCGAGCGUUAAUCGGAAUUACUGGGCGUAAAGCGCGCGUAGGCGGUCUGAUAAGCCGGUUGUGAAAGCCCCGGGCUCAACCUGGGAACGGCAUCCGGAACUGUCAGGCUAGAGUGCAGGAGAGGAAGGUAGAAUUCCCGGUGUUGCGGUGAAAUGCGUAGAGAUCGGGAGGAAUACCAGUGGCGAAGGCGGCCUUCUGGACUGACACUGACGCUGAGGUGCGAAAGCGUGGGUAGCAAACAGGAUUAGAUACCCUUGUAGUC